rnacentral:rRNA from 1 species
AGACUUUGAAGCCGGGGCGCCAGCUCUGGUGGAGUCAUCCUUGAAAUACCACCCUUUAAAUAUCUGGAGUCUAACUCGCAUGCGAGGACAUUGUUUGGUGGGUAGUUUGACUGGGGUGGUCGCCUCCAAAAGAGUAACGGAGGCUUUCAAAGGUACCCUCAGUACGGUUGGCAAUCGUACGUAGAGUGUAAUAGCAUAAGGGUGCUUGACUGUGAGACCUACAAGUCGAGCAGGUACGAAAGUAGGAUAUAGUGAUCCGGUGGUUCCGUAUGGAAGGGCCAUCGCUCAAAGGAUAAAAGGUACUCCGGGGAUAACAGGCUUAUCGCCACCAAGAGUUCAUAUCGACGUGGCGGUUUGGCACCUCGAUGUCGGCUCAUC